GACGAACGCUGGCGGCGUGCUUAACACAUGCAAGUCGAACGAAGUGGCGAACGGGUGAGUAACGCGUAAUCAACCUGCCCUGCAGAGGGGGACAACAGGUGGAAACGACUGCUAAUACCGCAUACGGAAGGAGGGGAUUGCGUCUGAUUAGCUAGUUGGAGGGGUAACGGCCCACAAAGGCAAUGAGCAGUAGCCGGUCGUGGAGGAUGAACGGCAACAUUGGGACUGAGUAACGGCCCAGACUCCUACGGGAGGCAGCAGUGGGGAAUCUUCCGCAAUGGACGAAAGUCUGACGGAGCAACGCCGCGUGAGUGAUGACGGCUUUCGGGUUGUAAAGCUCUGUUAAUCGGGACGCGGUACCGGAAUAGAAAGCCACGGCUAACUACGUGCCAGCAGCCGCGGUAAUUC
rnacentral:rRNA from 1 species